GGCGUGGCCACCAAGGGGCCGGGCCCUGCACAGCGCCCUGGGGAAGCUGGUUUGAAAGCUCUGGAGCGACCCCAAUGCCGGAUGAGAAAGCUGAGACUCAGAGAAAUUAAGAAACUCAUAUGAGGUCAUGUUGUAGGUAAGUUAGUUUUUGCUGCAUCAUAAACCACCCAACUAUUUAUGAUUUCAAACAGGUAAUACUUGUUUCUCAACAACUGGUUGGGGGCUGGAUGGCCAAGGGGCCUCAUAUUUUAGGGACAGGAGGAGCUCAUCGUCAGCUGGGUGAUGGGGAUGCGACUGCAAGUCUCAUCCAGGAGAGCUUGAACAUAGGGGUUGAGUUGCAAAAGCAGCAUAAGGGCAGCAACACAAGAACUUUCCAUGUCUCACUUAUGUCAUAUUUGCUAUUCUCCCAUUGGCCAAAGCAGGUCACAAAGGCAUGGCCAGCCGGUAUGGAAGGGGACAACCAAAGGGGUGGACACAGGGAGUGAGAAUUGCUGCUAUUUUCCCCAACAAAGAAUCUACCAUCCAUAGCUUCUAAGUGUACAACUGGAAAUCAAAACUAAGUUUGUCUUACUUGAAAGUUCAAAACUGUCUUACAGCUACUGCCUGGGGUCUAGGAAUCCAGAACAUUCCACACAUUGCCUAAGUCAACAACCUGUUGCACACACACACCUGCAACUGUUUUGCAAAAAUAUUUACGUAAUUUCGAAGCAGCUCUUCACAAAAUAUUCAUCAGUUACAGAAGGAAGUCACUUCACAGUGGAAAAAUCUGGCAGGUGCCACCUUAAUCAAGUAACCAAAAUGAACAUCAUCAGUAAUAGGACAAAUUGCAAUCGUGUGCCUCCUGAUAGUCUAGCAAGAAGAACACAGCAUCACUUCUAUGAUGCUCCUGCCAAUAAUAUAUAAUUGGAAUCUAAUCCUAAAGCAACAAAUUCAAAUUAAGGAAAAUUCUACAAAAUAAUUGGCCUGUAAUAGAAGUGUUAAAGGUCAUGAAAGUUAAGGAAAGACUGAAGAACUGUUCCAGACUGAAGAUGAAAGAGAUGUGAGAAAUAAGUGCAGUGGUGAUUCUGAACUGGAUCCUGACUUGGCAAAACUUGAAUAGGUCUGUUGGUUGGAUGGUAGAAAUAUAGUAAUGUUGAUUUCCUGAUUUUUGCUAGCUAUAUUACAAUUUUAUUGGAUUCAGUCCUUGUUUACAGAAGACACACAGUAUGUAGGGGUUAUAAGAAGUCAGCUCAGGAACUUUCAAAUCAUUUAGCAAAACAAAAGUUCUUCGUACUUUAAUUCCAAGACUUCUAUAAAUUUGAGAUUAUUUUUAAAAUACUUAAAAAAAACUCCUUUAAAGUCUCUCAACAUGCUGUCCUAUUAAUAAUAGAUUUCUAAAUUUUUUAUUUUUAUCAACGUUUUGUGUGCCCAUAGUUUGAAGUAUUAAAUUGUUUUUAUUUAUUAAGG
rnacentral:lncRNA from 10 species